rnacentral:lncRNA from 1 species
UCCUGGUCCUAGCCUUUGGGACUCGGAGGAGAUAACGGCGAGCUGCGACAAAGUUAAGCAACGGAAUCAGCCACGUCGUGCGUGGCGGUUAAGCCGCCUCCCUCGCCUCUAUGGGGUACAUAUGUCGGUUUAGGCCAGGCUUAAUCAGAUGAAGGCUUUCGAUCUGUUUGUAGCAGACACCUGGGUGUUGGCGCCAAAGUUUUUCGUUUUGGCUCCCUACCAACUCACUGUUGUAGCCGAUCAGUAGGUGCGUAGUUCCAGUUUCUAGCGGGAUGCGACUAAGAGAGGGGCCCUUUCUCAGUAAUCCAAGCGCUGACAUACCUUUUUUUUUUUUUUUUUUUCUUGUUUUUCCAGACAGGGUUUCUCUGUGUAGCCCUGGCUGUCCUGGAACUCACUCUGUAGACCAGGCUGGCCUCGAACAGAAAUCCGCCUGCCUCUGCCUCCCAAGUGUUGGGAUUAAAGGCGUGCGCCACCACCGCCCCGGCUACCUUUUUUGGUAAGAGUUAGCACACUUUAGAAAUUGAGGAUAUUGGCAGCGGUGAUUGGGGGGAUAAAUGGGUGAAGGAAGAAGGUUAUAGUUCUGUCACUCAGUGCUGGCCUUGAACUCCCAGUUAAUCUCCUGCCUUAGCUUCGGGAGUGGUGGGAUAAUAGUAUUUUUUUUUCGUCACUUCUUCGUCACCCCAGCUGAGUUUUAAGAUUUGUUUUCUUGGUCUGGGGAGUGACCAGAAUAUUGGAUUUCUGUACCCUAGACGAUCUUCUUGGGUCCAAGUGGCUUCGAACUACGGGUUCUCCAUGUAUAUAUGUGUUUGGGUUAUAGAUGUGCAAAUUCAUACCCAACAUAUUUUAAGUUUAUCUAGUUAAAGUGAGGACCUGUACUUUCUACCUUUAAAUUUAAAGUUUUCUAUUAGAAUUGAAAAGGAGAAAAAUUGAAAGGGAAAAAAAACCUGUUAGUCACUUCAGACUCACAUCCUGUUGGUACAGCAUAUAUAUUUUUGUAUUAAAAGGGAAUCGUAGAACAAAAUGUCUUGUCCUCACUAUGAGCUUGUAUUCUAGAUUAGCCCUAACUGGGAUAGUUGGUACUGUUACGCAAUAAAGGACCUUUAAAGACUUACCAGUUUGCAUUUUUUGUGUGAUUCUAACCAAAUUCAGGGUAGUGUGCUGGGAAGGAUGUCUCUAAAGUCGUUUUUAGUAAACAGCUGAGAUUUCCAGUGUUGGAAUAACAGGCUCCAGCCACCAUACAUACCCAGUGUAUGUGGUGCUGAGAAUCAAACCCGGGGCUUUGUGUGUGCUGAAAAGCUCUGUCAGCUAAGCAUAUCCCCUGUCCUAGAGUUGACUUUUGUCUUAGAAAGCAGAAGUUAAUUUUAGGACUUGAAAGCCGAUCUGGAAAAAGCACUGCUUUUUAGGCUAGUAUCUAGUUGAAUUUAUUGAAAAACUUAUUGUGGGGAGCAAGCAAACUAAGCUGCAUUAGAUUAUCUGUGAUGUAAAAUAAGUGGAGAAAGCUUUUUCCAGUUGUUUAUAUAGAUCUUUUGAUUGGUAAUUCCCAGGAACUGUAUUUGAAAUCAUUGAUGGAAUACUAUCCACUAUCUGAAAUCUGCUGUGUAAUUUUUAUGAUUGGUUAAUGAGAGAAUCUAGAAGACCAGUAUAUCUCUGGGUAGCAAUUGUACUGGUUAAUAAGAGAAUCUAGAAGAUCAUUGUAUCUCUGAGUAGUAAUUGUAAGUGGUUGUGGUUGGAGGAUAUGGGUUUGUGUGUUGCUGGUUCUAGCUUCUUAAACAAUCUUAAAAACACUGAGUAUUUGAGUUAUAGGCAUUUAAUAUUUUUGAUUCAACAUUGAAAAUAAGUCUGUGAACUUUAUAAGUAAUAAUAUUGAUCUUACUUAAUGUCUUAGGACUUUUUUUUAUAGAUUUAUUUAUUUAUUAUUCAGAUGCACCAGAAGAGGGCGCCAGGUCUCAUUAAGGAUGGCUGUGAGCCACCAUGUGGUUGCUGGGAAUUGAACUCAGGAUCUUUGGAAGAGCAGUCAGUGCUCCUAACUGCUGAGCCAUCUCUAGCCCGACUUUUUUUUUUUUUUUUAAGGCUCAUUUUAUGUAUAUUAGUACACUGUAGCUGUCUUCAGACACACCAAAAGAGGGCAUGAGAUCUCAUUACAGAUGUUGGAAAUUGAACUCGGGACCUCUGGAAGAGCAGUCAGUGCUUUUUUUUUUUUUGGUUUUUCGAGACAGGGUUUCUCUGUAUAGUUCUGGCUGUCCUGGAACUCACUUUGUAGACUAGGCUGGCCUCGAACUCAGAAGUCCGCCUGCCUCUGCCUCCCGAGUGCUGGGAUUAAAGGUGUGCGCCACCACGCCCGGCCUCAGUCAGUGCUCUUAACUGUCGAACCAGCUCUCCAGCCCAGUUUAGGGCUUUCUAACACCAAUUUACUUAAUUCAUUAUUUCUCUAUUUUUGUAGAUGGAACCCCCAAAAGGUGUAAAACUUAAGACUACAUAAGCCAGGAGUGGCACAGCUUGGUUUAGAAUGUGCCGUGGUUCUUAGUUCAGUCUUU